UUUUCAUUCUCUCUCUCUCUUCUGUCCGUCGUUUUUUAAUUUCGAGACUUCCACUAUAUCUUCCAGGUUUCUGCCGCUUCUUGGAAGGCAGAGGAAGAGGAAGGGGGAGAAGGGGUAAUCACCAAACUCGUCUGCAGGCUGAAGGAGAUGGCGGAUUUGGAAGAGAUUGGCGCUGAAAUCUGUUCGGAUCUUGAGGUUGACGACAUCAGGUGUGAUAAUCUAGCGGAGAAAGAUGUCAGUGAUGAAGAGAUUGAAGCUGACGAGCUGGAAAGGCGCAUGUGGAAGGACCGGGUCAAGCUCAAUAGGAUCAAGGAGAGGCAGAAGCUUGCUGCCCAACAGGAGAAGCCCAAGCCUAAACAGACCUCCGACCAGGCUCGGAGGAAAAAAAUGUCCAGAGCCCAAGAUGGUAUCCUCAAGUACAUGCUGAAGCUGAUGGAAGUCUGUAAUGCCCGUGGAUUCGUUUACGGGAUCGUGCCCGAGAAGGGAAAGCCGGUGAGUGGUUCCUCUGAUAACAUACGGGCUUGGUGGAAGGAGAAGGUAAAGUUUGAUAAGAACGGACCGGCGGCAAUAGCCAAGUAUGAAGCAGAGUGUUUAGCAGUAGGUGAGGCAGAGAAUAAACGAAAUGGGAACUCUCAGAGCAGCCUUCAGGACCUUCAAGAUGCCACUUUGGGCUCUCUCCUCUCGUCCUUGAUGCAACACUGCGAUCCCCCGCAACGGAAAUACCCAUUAGAGAAAGGUCUUCCGCCACCCUGGUGGCCAUCGGGUAACGAGGACUGGUGGGAAAAGCUAGGAUUACCCAAGGGUCAGGCUCCACCUUACAGAAAGCCCCAUGAUCUGAAGAAGAUGUGGAAGGUUGGUGUGCUAACUGCAGUUGUCAAGCACAUGUCCCCCAAUAUUGCAAAGAUCAGGAGGCAUGUCCGGCAGUCAAAGUGUUUACAGGAUAAGAUGACUGCCAAGGAGAGUUCAAUUUGGUUGGGAGUCUUGAGCCGAGAGGAAGCACUUAUCCAGCAGCCAAGUGGCGACAAUGGUGUAUCUGGUGUAACUGAGAUGCCUCCAAGAAGUCGUGGUGGAAGGAAGCAGGCUGUGGCUAGUAGUGACAGUGACUAUGAUGUUGAUGGUGUUGAUGAUGGUGUGGGUUCUGUUUCUUCUAAUCCUAAAGUUGACAGGAGAAUUCAACCAGUGAAUGCAGGACCUUGUGGAAACCCAUGUGAUAACCCAAGGCAUCCUUCUAAUGAUAAAGAGCAAAGUGAAGAACAGCCAAGGAGAAAAAGACCUCGUGGGAGAUCAAAACCUGUUGAUCAAGGGACACCAUCUUCUCAGAAUGAGCAUCUACAUGGGGAAGAGAGAAGCGUGGUUCCAGAUAUGAACCAGGUUGACUUACAGUUGGUUGAAUUUCAAAUGCAAACAACCCAGCUGGAAAAUGAUCCAGUUCCAUCUUUGAGGCCUUUGGAAGAAGAUCAGGAUAUCCAGCUCCAGUUACCUGAAUCUGCGCUUAACACCUUCUCAGACCUUCCUUCCACCAAUGAAACAACCUCAGAGAGUAUGCUUGUUGGUGACAGACCCUUAUUAUAUUCAAUUGUGCAAAAUGCUGAAUUGCCUCCUAGACCUAGUUACUUUUUCUAUGAUCCAUCAGUAGGAAAUAGGCUACAUCAGGAUAAAGAGCAGCUACAGAUAUCAAUGGCAGAUCCCCAGAUGAUGCCUGAGGAAACAGGAUACCAUGCACCAUUGCUACAUGGAAAUAGAAAUCAGAUUGCAGGAGAGGAAAUACAUCGUUAUGGAAAGGAUAGUUUCCAUAGUGAGCAAGAUAAACCCGUUGAAAGCCACUAUGGGUCUCCACUUGAUGGCUUGUCAUUAGAUUAUGGAGGAUUCAACAGUCCAUUUUUUGGAUUUGAUGGCACUAGUUCAUUAGAUGCUGAUUUAGAUUUUUCACUUGAUGAUGACUUAAUCCAAUAUUUCGGAGCAUAGUCUGCGGCACCUAUUACAAUGCAGCAUAGAGUGUGAGCAGCAUUUCUUUGUGAAUAUGUAUCUUGAUCUUGUUGCUCAAAUAUGGUUGUACUUUUGUUCGUGUCACAGAUUACAGGGCGCAGGUUCUACUGUAGGCAGGACAAUGGACCUUUUUUAAUCCACUGGAAUUGCUAAUUUGGCCUUACCAGAUCCAAAAAUUAUGAAUUCAGGGCAUUUUGUUUCUCAUUACUAGUCUAAUAGGGAUGCCACAUGCAUUGACCAUUUUAUAGAAAUGGAUUUUUGGGCUUGGAAUCAUGAAUACUGAGAGAGAAUUUUUUUGCUUCCAAAUGGCUUUAUGUGAAGUUGAUGGUAAAACUAAGAUGCAAGAUUGAAGUUCCCUUCACUUUCUUUUGCCAAGGUGUCAAGUAAAUCAGUUUCAGAAGUAUGCCUGAGUAUUCAUCUAAGAUAUUCAUCUUUAAGAGAAUGACUCCAUGAUGAUUUAUUCUAUUCAAAUUCUGAAAAUUCAUAUGAAGAUACAGACAGAUGGAAGAGAAAAGAAAGAUUUGUAUUUGCAAAAGGCUAAGAGAAUGGGUAAUUAGAACUUCUAGGUUCAUAAGGGGCCACAUUUGAUUGAUUCUAAUAUGCGAAAGAUCUACCCCUUUUCUAUAUUAGGACGCCUCUAAAUACACCAUUGUAUCAAAAUAUGAUGCAUAUCAGUAUUAUCCCUGAGACAGUUAUAAGAGCAACAUUUCUAUUUGAGACAGAGUGCUGAGAAAUCAAGAAGCAAUAUAUUCAAAACAUGGGUUUAGCUGAGAUGAAGAUGUUGAGAUGGAUGAAUGGCACGACUAAAAGAGAGUAUCAGAAA